rnacentral:rRNA from 1 species
UGGGCAACCUGCCCUCAGCUCUGGGAUAAACCCCGGGAAAACCGGGGCUAAUACCGGAUACGACCUCCACGGGCAUCUGUGGAGGUGGAAAGGGUUUCCGGCUGAGGAUGGGCCCGCGGCCUAUCAGCUUGUUGGUGGGUAAUGGCCUACCAAGGCGACGACGGGUAGCCGGCCUGAGAGGGUGACCGGCCACACUGGGGACUGAGACACGGCCCAGACCCCCGUACGGGGAGGCA